rnacentral:snoRNA from 1 species
AAACUUGCGGUGAUGAUUACAUAGUUCAUCUGACGAGCUCUGAUUGGUUUAUGUUGCAAAUGUCUUUCGCUCCUAUCUGAGAAACUUU